GCAGCACCAGUGUUGUUGUUGUUUUUAAGGGACAGGGUCUCCCUGUGUUUCCCAGACUUGAUUCACACUCUUGCGCUUAAGCAAUCCUCCUGCCUCAGCCUCCUGAGUAGCUGGAGUUACAGGCAUACAAUUCCACACCCAGCUAGCACCUAGUUCUUUAACUUGCUUUUUUGGUUAACUUGCUUAAUGAUUUAGCUUGGAGAUCUUUCCCCAUCUGUUCAUAAAGAGCCUCUUCAUUCUUUCUCAUGUCCGCAUGGUCUUUGAUGGGAGAGCCAUCAUUGGUUUAAUUAGAUGGUUUCCAGUGUGUUGCUACCACAGACAAUCUAAUUAUACAUGUAAGUUUGUUGAUGUGUUCAUGUAUCUGGAGGUUAAACUCCUGUAGUGCCAGAUCUUUUAUGUGGAUAAACACUUGUCAUUUUGAGAGCUGUCACCUAAUUGCCCUCGGUGGUGUUGUGCCAGUUCACCCUCCUCGCAGCAUGUCUGAGAAGAGCAAGCUAGUUUUAGCUGCACAGCCUAGAAGCUGUGGCCAGACCUGGGGGAAGGGCAGGACUGUCCCCUUCCAUGCUGGCCCUGGCGUCAGAUGCCACAUCACACCUGUGGUCUCUCCCAGGACACAUUUGACAUCCGGAUCCUGAUGGCCAAGUCUGUCAAGUACACAGUGAACUUCUUAGAAGCCAAAGAAGGAGAUUUGCACAGGAUAGAAAUCCCAUUCAAAUUCCACAUGCUGCAUUCAGGGCUGGUCCACGGCCUGGCUUUCUGGUUUGACGUUGCUUUCAUCGGCUCCAUAAUGACCGUGUGGCUGUCCACAGCCCCGACAGAGCCCCUGACCCACUGGUACCAGGUGCGGUGCCUGUUCCAGUCACCACUGUUCGCCAAGGCAGGGGACACGCUCUCAGGGACAUGUCUGCUUAUUGCCAACAAAAGACAGAGCUACGACAUCAGUAUUGUGGCCCAGGUGGACCAGACCGGCUCCAAGUCCAGUAACCUCCUGGAUCUGAAAAACCCCUUCUUCAGAUAUACGGGCACAACGCCCUCACCCCCACCCGGCUCC
rnacentral:sRNA from 1 species